AACGAACGCUGGCGGCAUGCCUAACACAUGCAGGUCGAACGAGACCUUCGGGUCUAGUGGCGCACGGGUGCGUAACGCGUGGGAACCUGCCCUUAGGUUCGGAAUAACUCCCCGAAAGGGGUGCUAAUACCGGAUAAUGUCUUCGGACCAAAGAUUUAUCGCCUUUGGAUGGGCCCGCGUUGGAUUAGCUAGUUGGUAGGGUAAAAGCCUACCAAGGCGACGAUCCAUAGCUGGUCUGAGAGGAUGAUCAGCCACACUGGGACUGAGCCACGGCCCAGACUCCUACGGGAGGCAGCAGUGGGGAAUAUUGGACAAUGGGCGAAAGCCUGAUCCAGCAAUGCCGCGUGAGUGAUGAAGGCCUUAGGGUUGUAAAGCUCUUUUACCCGGGAUGAUAAUGACAGUACCGGGAGAAUAAGCUCCGGCUAACUCCGUG
rnacentral:rRNA from 1 species